UGGCGUACGGGUGAGUAACACGUGGAUUAUCUGCCUCUUAGUGGGGAAUAACUCUGGGAAACCGGAGCUAAUACCGCAUAAGCCUGGGAAGGGAAAGUCGCAAGACGCUGAGAGAGGAGUCCGCGGCCGAUUAGCUAGUUGGCAGGGUAAAAGCCUACCAAGGCUAUGAUCGGUAGCCGGCCUGAGAGGGCACACGGCCACACUGGCACUGAAACACGGGCCAG
rnacentral:rRNA from 1 species